AGAAGUUGUGUGAUGUCAACGCUAUUUUUGGUGCUACCCGCCUAGAUUUCUAUUUUCGUCUUCUUCAGGGGCUGGACUUACCAAGUUGCUUGCGACAACUCUUUCUUCCUUACUCUCUUGUACUACUGACGAAUCUCAUCCUUUGACCCUGGUCCCGUUCCCUAUGCAAUCACGGCGUCGGGACCUACCCUAGACAAAGACCAACGGGACAGCGUUUUUUCAAGAGUGGCAGGGCAGCUGCUUCUGAAGCAGAGGGUCUGAAAGCCGCUGACAGCUGUGGAUUCCUUCAGACCCUCAAAAAGAAGGGGAAAAAGAGGAGUUGAGUAAAACAGAGGGAGAGAGAGAAAAAGAGAG
rnacentral:lncRNA from 1 species